GCAAGUCGAGGGGCAACAUAACACUUCGGUGGUGAGGGCGACCGGCCAACGGGUGAGUAACGCGUAUGUAACCUGCCUACUACAGAGGAAUAGCCCAUGGAAACGUGGAUUAAUACCUUAUAGUACAUUUAAACUUCAUGGUUAAAAUGUUAAAGAUUUAUCGGUAGUAGAUGGACAUGCGUCUGAUUAGGUAGUUGGUGAGGUAAAGGCUCACCAAGCCAACGAUCAGUAGGGGGUUUGAGAGGAUGAUC
rnacentral:rRNA from 1 species